AUGGCGCCACAACCACUAGUAGAACAAGCACACGGCUGGCGCGCCCAGAACGAAACUUCCAUCCAACCACUGAAACGAGUUCAGGAUGGGUUAACGGGUGAUGUGUUGUUUGCUGCUGCUGGCAAGAUUGAGCAAGUGAGUGAUGCUCUACAUGCUGAAGCUACUGCCCUCCUGAACGCCAUCAACCUUGCUGAAGAUCAUAGUAUGGGUCGUGUCAUUUUUGAGACUAACUGUCUAGGACUUGCCCAAGCCAUCAACACUACGAUGCUAGACCGAUCUGCCCUAGGGGCUCUUUUCCGCGAGACAUGGAAAAAUAAAUUCCCCUGUGGGCUGAGGCCGACAGGAAAACAAUUUAGCUUUUCGCGCCCACUUCUCCACCUAAAUGGGCCUUCCCGCGCUAAGGAAUUCAGCCACGCGCGCUCCGCCAAUUUUCCUGUGAGUUAUGGGCUCACAGGAAUAGGCCCAGUACAAAAACGAAAUAGGAAGGAAACUCUGGAUCCCCAAAUCAGAACCCUCAUCUCCACUCCGCCGCCGCCGCACUCCAGCUACCCCGUCUUCGACCCAACCCUCAACACUGCCCCAGCAGCAUCGGUCGCGGCCUUCGUCGUACCAGUCCGCCGCUCCACCUGCUCGCCUACUGUCCCUUCGUCCUCACCGGUGGAGCGACCCAGCCGUGUCCUCGUCGGCGCCUGUGCGCGUCCGCCUCACAGCACGCCCGAGCGCCCCGUCCUUGAGUCGUCACCACCUGGGAAAGCAGCGACGCACAUUGACCAGCUCAUCUCCACUAUGAUGCAGGGGAAGAAACUGAAUCUGGGGAAGACAUUGUUAAUAUCAUCAGUCUUAAUGUUACAUUGCAAGUUCAAGGAAUAUCAUUGGCACAGCAGAGAGGUUGCAAACAAGAAGUUGAGUUUAUCACCUGGUGGCAUUAAAAUACAGAAAAUAGCCUUUGCAAAGGAUAAGAGGGCGACAACAGAAUUAAGAUUGCUUUGUGUGUUUGUUGAGUUGGCCUUGAGCUGCUGGGUGGAGGGAUUUACAUUCCCUGACGGCCACCCGGCAGGAAUAGGUUUCCUGUCGGUCUCCCGACAGGCAUUUUCUCCUAUCCCUGUCAAGCUAUGGCUGACGGGUAUUCCUGUCAGUUGGCCGACAGGAAAUACUAUUCCUGAUGGUUUUCCUUAUUUUCCUAUCGGUUUCUGA
rnacentral:rRNA from 1 species